rnacentral:lncRNA from 1 species
UUCUCCUCUUAUCUCUACAUUUGGCCACGGUCAGCUGGGAAAAUAAGGAACCCGUGCUGGAACUUGGGGUGUGUCAGGGUGAGUGGUGUAGGGCCUCCUAACAGCCAUGAGUCAACCAGUACACAGAACACUGGGGAGAAAGCUAAAUCCCUGUAGGUAACCAGUACACAGAACACUGGGGAGAAAGCUAAAUCCCUGUAGGUAACCAGUACACAGAACACUGGGGAGAAAGCUAAAUCCCUGUAUGUAACCAGUACACAGAACACUGGGGAGAAAGCUAAAUCCCUGUAUGUAACCAGUACACAGAACACUGGGGAGAAAGCUAAAUCCCUGUAUGUAACCAGUACACAGAACACUGGGGAGAAAGCUAAAUCCCUGUAUGUAACCAGUACACAGAACACUGGGGAGAAAGCUAAAUCCCUGUAUGUAACCAGUACACAGAACACUGGGGAGAAAGCUAAAUCCCUGUAUGUAACCAGAACACUGGGGAGAAAGCUAAAUCCCUGUAUGUAACCAGAACACUGGGGAGAAAGCUAAAUCCCUGUAUGUAACCAGUACACAGAACACUGGGGAGAAAGCUAAAUCCCUGUAUGUAACCAGUACACAGAAUACUGGGGAGAAAGCUAAAUCCCUGUAUGUAAACAGAACACUGGGGAGAAAGCUAAAUCCCUGUAUGUAACCAGUACACAGAACACUGGGGAGAAAGCUAAAUCCCUGUAUGUAACCAGUACACAGAACACUGGGGAGAAAGCUAAAUCCCUGUAUGUUACCAGUACACAGAACACUG